CCAGCAGCCGCGGUAAUUCCAGCUCCAAUAGCGUAUAUUAAAAUUGUUGCAGUUAAAAAGCUCGUAGUUGAAGUUCUGCUAAAAGUAACCGGUCUGCUUUUAAUAAAAGUGGUAUCUUGGUGUGUAUUUAGCAAUGAUGUCCUUUGAAGUGUUUUUUACUUUAUUGUAAUAAAGCAUAUUCAGGACUUUUACUUUGAGAAAAUUAGAGUGUUUCUAGCAGGCCAACGCUUUGAAUACUGCAGCAUGGAAUAAUAAGAUAGGAUUUUAGUUCUACAUUAUUGGUUUUAAGAGCUAAAUUAAUGAUUGAUAGGGACAGUUGGGGGCAUUUGUAUUUAACUGUCAGAGGUGAAAUUCUUAGAUUUGUUAAAGACAAACUACUGCGAAAG
rnacentral:rRNA from 1 species